UGGGGAAUUUUGCACAAUGGAGGAAACUCUGAUGCAGCGACGCCGCGUGAGUGAUGAAGAUCUUCGGAUUGUAAAACUCUGUCCUUAGUGAAGAUAAUGACAGUAACUAAGAAGCAAGCCCUGGCUAAAUACGUGCCAGCAGCCGCGGUAAUACGUAUGGGGCAAGCGUUGUCCGGAAUUAUUGGGCGUAAAGGGUACGUAGGCGGUUUAAUAAGUCCUAAUUAAAAGGCUAUGGCUCAACCAUAGUAUGGUUAAGAAACUGUUGAACUUGAGUAGAUGAGGUGAAAGUGGAAUUCCAUGUGUAGCGGUGAAAUGCGUAGAUAUAUGGAGGAACACCAAUGGCGAAGGCAACUUUCUGGAAUCAAACUGACGCUGAGGUACGAAGGCGUGGGGAGCAAACAGG
rnacentral:rRNA from 1 species